UUCAGUAUGGCGUAGUGGUUUGAGUGUUGGACUAGGACUCUGGAGACCAAGGUUCGAUUUCUCGCUCAGCCA